UACGUAGGGGGCAAGCGUUGUCCGGAUUUAUUGGGCGUAAAGAGCGUGUAGGCGGCUUUGCAAGUCCGUUGUGAAAACUCGAGGCUCAACCUCGAGACGCCGGUGGAAACUGCAAAGCUAGAGUCCGGAAGAGGAGAGUGGAAUUCCUGGUGUAGCGGUGAAAUGCGCAGAUAUCAGGAAGAACACCCGUGGCGAAAGCGGCUCUCUGGGACGGUACUGACGCUGAGACGCGAAAGCGUGGGGAGCGAACAGG
rnacentral:rRNA from 1 species